rnacentral:rRNA from 1 species
AGUGAACGCUGGCGGUAGGCCUAACACAUGCAAGUCGAACGGCAGCGCAGAGGAGCUUGCUCCUUGGGUGGCGAGUGGCGGACGGGUGAGGAAUACAUCGGAAUCUACUCUGUCGUGGGGGAUAACGUAGGGAAACUUACGCUAAUACCGCAUACGACCUACGGGUGAAAGCAGGGGAUCUUCGGACCUUGCGCGAUUGAAUGAGCCGAUGUCGGAUUAGCUAGUUGGCGGGGUAAAGGCCCACCAAGGCGACGAUCCGUAGCUGGUCUGAGAGGAUGAUCAGCCACACUGGAACUGAGACACGGUCCAGACUCCUACGGGAGGCAGCAGUGGGGAAUAUUGGACAAUGGGCGCAAGCCUGAUCCAGCCAUACCGCGUGGGUGAAGAAGGCCUUCGGGUUGUAAAGCCCUUUUGUUGGGAAGGAAAUCCAGCUGGCUAAUACCCGGUUGGGAUGACGGUACCCAAAGAAUAAGCACUGGCUAACUUCGUGCCAGCCGCCGCCGUAA